ACUGAAUAGAUACCCAGGUAGUCCUAGCCCUAAACGGUGCACGCUUGCUGUAAGAGGAAUCGACCCCUCUUGUGGCGAAAGCUAACGCGAUAAGCGUGCCGCCUGGGGAGUACGGUCGCAAGAUUAAAACUCAAAGAAAUUGACGGGGGCCGUGCACAAGCGGUGGAGUAUGUGGCUUAAUUCGAUGCAACGCGAAGAACCUUACCUGGCCUUGACAUGCAUUGGUAGAACCAUGAAAGUGGGACGACCCCGGCAGGGGAGGGAUGCACAGGUGCUGCAUGGCUGUCGUCAGCUCGUGUCGUGAGAU
rnacentral:rRNA from 1 species